GCGAACGCUAGCGGCGGGCCUAACACAUGCAAGUCGAGCGGGGAGCAAUCCCAGCGGCGGACGGGUGAGUAACACGUAGGUAAUGUGCCUCAAGGUGGGGAAUAACACCGGGAAACCGGUGCUAAUACCGCAUAUGUCGAGAGAUGAAAGCAGCAAUGCGCCAUGAGAGCAGCCUGCGUCCGAUUAUUUAUUCCUAGUUGGUGAGGUAAUGGCUCACCAAGGGUACGAUCGGUAGCUGGUCUGAGAGGAUGAUCAGCCACACUGGAACUGAGACACGGUCCAGACUCCUACGGGAGGCAGCAGUGGGGAAUAUUGCGCAAUGGGCGAAAGCCUGACGCAGCCACGCCGCGUGAGUGAUGAAGGCCUUCGGGUUGUAAAGCUCUGUCGGGAGGGAAGAAGGGAGCAAUCUCUGACGGUACCUCGCAAGAAAGCACCGGCUAACUCUGU
rnacentral:rRNA from 1 species